rnacentral:rRNA from 1 species
UACGUAGGCAGCAAGCGUUGUUCGGAGUUACUGGGCGUAAAGAGUGCGUAGGCGGUCCUGUAAGUUUGGUGUGAAAUCUCCCGGCUCAACUGGGAGGGUGCGCCGAAGACUGCAGGGCUUGAGUAUGGGAGAGGUAAGCGGAAUUCCUGGUGUAGCGGUGAAAUGCGUAGAUAUGACAUAGAACACCGAUUGCGAAGGCAGCUUGCUAAACGAUUAUUGACGCUGAGGCACGAAAGCGUGGGGAUCGAACAGG